rnacentral:rRNA from 1 species
AGUAGGGAAUCUUCCGCAAUGGACGAAAGUCUGACGGAGCAACGCCGCGUGAGCGAUGAAGGCCUUCGGGUCGUAAAGCUCUGUUGUUAGGGAAGAACAAGUACCGUUCGAAUAGGGCGGUACCUUGACGGUACCUAACCAGAAAGCCACGGCUAACUACGUGCCAGCAGCCGCGGUAAUACGUAGGUGGCAAGCGUUGUCCGGAAUUAUUGGGCGUAAAGCGCGCGCAGGCGGUCUUUUAAGUCUGAUGUGAAAGCCCCCGGCUCAACCGGGGAGGGUCAUUGGAAACUGGGAGAACUUGAGUGCAGAAGAGGAGAGCGGAAUUCCACGUGUAGCGGUGAAAUGCGUAGAGAUGUGGAGGAACACCAGUGGCGAAGGCGGCUCUCUGGUCUGUAACUGACGCUGAGGCGCGAAAGCGUGGGGAGCGAA